AGCGGAUCACAGGACUCCGGA
rnacentral:siRNA from 1 species